AUUGAACGCUGGCGGCAUGCCUUACACAUGCAAGUCGAACGGUAACGGGCCUUCGGGUGCCGACGAGUGGCGAAGGGGUGAGUAAUGUAUCGGAACGUACCUUUCAGUGGGGGAUAACGUAGCGAAAGUUACGCUAAUACCGCAUAUUCUGUGAGCAGGAAAGCAGGGGAUCGCAAGACCUUGCGCUGAUUGAGCGGCCGAUAUCAGAUUAGCUAGUUGGUGAGGUAAAGGCUCACCAAGGCGACGAUCUGUAGCGGGUCUGAGAGGAUGAUCCGCCACACUGGAACUGAGACGCGGUCCAGACUCCUACGGGAGGCAGCAGUGGGGAAUUUUGGACAAUGGGGGCAACCCUGAUCCAGCCAUGCCGCGUGAGUGAAGAAGGCCUUCGGAUUGUAAAGCUCUUUCAGCCGGGAAGAAAUCGCAUCAGCUAAUACCUGGUGUGGAUGACGGUACCGGAAUAAGAAGCACCGGCUAACUACGUGCCAGCAGCCGCGGUAAAAC
rnacentral:rRNA from 1 species